UGCUGCGUGAGUAAGGCAUCGGACCAUCUGCAGGGGCCAGAGUGGGUGUCAGACUCCUCCGCCCCCACCCCAGCGCCUGCUCCAGGGCCCAGUAUGGGUGUCCCUCUGCAGAUCUUGCUCCACAACAAUCAAAGCGCUUUCCUAUGUUCGCCGACCUGCCAACCCUCGUUGAAGACUUUCUCCGGGGAUCCCUGGGUGGUGCAGCGGUUUGGCGCCUGCCUUUGGCCCAGGGCGCGAUCCUGGAGACCCGGGAUUGAAUCCCACGUCGGGCUCCCGGCGCAUGGAGCCUGCUUCUCCCUCUGCCUGUGUCUCUGCCUCUCUCUCUCUCUCUCUUUCUGUGUGACUAUCAUAAAUAAAUUAAUUAAUUAAUUAAAAAAAAAAAAAGACUUUCUCUGCAUCAGACCAUGCAGGAGACGAUAAACAGGGCUCAGCCCUGCCCUCAGGAGCCUCCCAGUCUAGUGGAGGAAACAGACACAGGAAACACCAACCGUAAGGCCUGUGUGACCAUCUGAUUCGAGAACUAUUCCGUGAGUAGCUGCCGGAUGCUGGGCCUGUGCUGGGCUUUGGGAACACAGAGGUCAAGUAAGGUGCAGUGUCCCUGGCCUCGAGGAAGCUCCAGACCUGAGGGAAGGGGAGAGAGACAGGAGAUGUACUAUCUUCCUAUAACGUCGGAGAGGAGAGCCGUUACAGCCCAGAGCAGGGAGUGAUAGGUCUGGCGGGAGCGAAUCAGGGAGGGCUUCACAGAGAAGGUGGUAUCGGGUUUUGUAGGAUGCAGAGCAGUUCACUGUUGAGGACUUGAGCCUGGAACGGGGUCGGCACUGGAUGCAGAAUAAAGGCAGAAACGUCAGAGCCAGAGCCGUGGAGCAACGGUUCUGUGGGUCUGGAUUCGGGGUGGGCGGUGGGGUGAGCACAGGGGAGAGGUCCCAGCUCCAGGCGAGGCUUGCGAGGAUAAACAGGGGCAGAGAACAGCCUCUCCAGUGAGGUGGAGCAAAAGGGGCAGAGAAUAGCCUCUCCAGUGAGGUGGAGGAAGCAGGCUCGGGGAGGCAGACGAGGCUGCCUCUGACCUCCACUGGGCUCUCUGCUGUCCUGAGGCCGCAAACCCCACGGCCCGUUCCCUCCAAAUGAGACAAAGCUGCUCGCUGCUCCCCGAAGACAUUAACAGCUCAGAGCUGGUGGGAGGCAUUAUUAUCGGUUGUGAUGAUUAUUCUCUGAAGUCCGGCUUGGAAGAUAAUCAGCAGCUCAGCAGGCCCCGGGGCUGGGGUGAUUUGGGCCUUGGAGGAGGAGGGGCCUCCAGCCCUGGCCCAGCCCCCAGCCCCCCACCCUCCGCCCACCCAGCAGCUGGUCGGCGGCAGGUCUUGGUCAGGGGUGGGAGUGGGGGUCCGUGAGCCGGAGCAGGUCCCUGUGGGGCCGCCUCAUUGUCCCCCUGCUGGCUCUUACCGGGAGGGUGUCCGCCAGCCACCCUCUCCUCCCGCCCUCCUCCCCGCUCCCCCAGCCAAUUAGUCUCCGCCAGGCAAUUAGCGGUUCCUGCUCCUCCUGAGUUUCUACUUCCCUCAGCCACGGCUCUGCUGCUGGAAGGGGCUGAGUCAUUUUCCUGAAAGGAAUGUCGCCUGAGGAAGUGGCCCCGGCUCCCCCUCUCCAGCUCCCACCCCCAGCUGUGCGGCCUCAGGCCAGCUACUUCACCUCUCUGAGACUCAGUUUCCUCACCUGUAAACCAAGGUGUUAACCGAGCUGGAUAAUGACAAGGGGCCCCCACUUGGACGAGCCUCUUGGCCACUCGGGGCCUCAGUCUCCCCCUUGUGAAAUGUGAGGUCAGAGGGGUGAGGUCAGAGCCCAGCGACGACAGAGGGACCAAUCUGGCCAGCCAUUUCUUUUGACCAACAUCUUAUUUUCAAAAAAAUUGCACCUGGGCAGUCUCUCCUUCUCUGUCCUGCCCUCCGCUCCCAUGCAGUGUAUUCAAUAAACGUUUAAAAACAUAUUGCCGUUUGAAGUUGUGCUCCCCAGUUUGCCCAGGUCCCCUCAUUUUCUACUGUCUCACUCCACCUACCUCCCCGUGACCCCUGAGUUUGUGACCCCCCCUGGACGAGCUGGUCUCAGAGUUUCCAAAGACCUCUUCUCUGGGGCUCUGUGGCUGUGGGCUCUGGGGUGGGCGAGCGAGGGGCACCUGGGUGCCCCAGAGGCCACUUGGCCCAGAGCUGGAUUACUCACCCGUGGGAACUCCCUUCCCCCAUCCAGACCCAGACCCAGACCCUCCUCCUCUCCCUGAGACCUUUGCCUCCUCUUGGUGUCCCAGCCCCAGGGCCCCCUGCUCUUGCCUGGGCUUGUGUCAGCUGGUUUCUCAGAGAACGCUCACAUUUGAUCACGCUGUCCUUUUGCUGGACAUGGCCACCAACAGGCUUCAUUGCCCUGUUCCCCCACCCACGCCGCCCUCACCCUCCAUUUUCUGAGUAGCUCUCCUCCCC
rnacentral:lncRNA from 1 species